CGGGUUGUAAAGCACUUUCAGUCGUGAGGAAGGUAGUGUAGUUAAUAGCUGCAUUAUUUGUACGUUAGCGACAGAAGAAGCACCGGCUAACUCCGUGCCAGCAGCCGACGGUAAGUACGGGAGGGUGCGAGACGUUAAGUACGGUAAUUACGUGGGACGUAAAGCGCAUGCAGGUUGGUUUAGUUAAGUCAGGUGUGAAAGCCCGGGGCUCAACCUCGGAAUAGCAUUUGAAACUGGCAGACUAGAGUACUGUAGAGGGGGGUAGGAAUUUCAGGUGUAGCGGUGAAAUGCGUAGAGAUCUGAAGGAAUACCGGUGGCGAAGGCGGCCCCCUGGACAGAUACUGACACUCAGAUGCGAAAGCGUGGGGAGCAAACAGGAUUAGAUACCCUGGUAG
rnacentral:rRNA from 1 species